rnacentral:lncRNA from 1 species
ACCUUUUACUUUUGAAAACACAAAUUAACAUCCAUCCCAUUCUUACACCAGUCACCACUGACCACAAUACAGGGACGUCUGAUCACAAAGUCAACAAUGAAAGGCAUUGAGUGUGGAAAUAAUGGCACAUCUGUGUGUGGGGAGAGAUGUGCCAUCCAGCUGCUGGCAGGUAAACAGAGACGAGCCUGUCCCACCACAGCAUGUGAUGCCAGGAAACAUAUAAAAAGACCCGCCGGCAAAUGUGUGAUUCAAUGCGCACACUGACAUUUAGCACUUUGUUUCAAUUUGUUCGGCAUCCACCUCUUUUAUCCAAGAUGAGAAUUAGUGUACCCAUAAUCCUCUUUGUUGCAGCGACAGGUUUGUACAUUUUUGUGUUUGGAGUGAUUUCAGCAUCUCUGCAAUGUGACGAAAGGACUAAAUUGCCAGAAGAGAGAGCGUUUGAAGAGAACAGCACGACUCCACAAACAGAUGAGUCGGAGUAUGAGGCUGCUCAUGUGAAAGAUGGAGAGACAAAGGCAGUGACAGACACUACAGAUGGUGAGAGAGAGGCGCUGACAGAUGCUACAGGCGCGAACACCGGAAGUGACGCGCCCAUAGAUUCAGACUCUGGGGACGACACCUCUCAACAGAACACAGAACACAGUGAGCAUGUGGAAGAGAAUGUGAAAAGUUCUGGUGAGUUGUUAAUCCAGCAAAUGAAAUCAAGAAUUGUAUAUAAAAAAAAAAUAAUAAUAAUUUAUGUUAAUGUGACCUUUCUUUCCAGAGGAUUUCAGUGAUGAAGAAUACGAUGUAUAUUACGAUUAAGACAGUGUGAAGCAGCUGUGUGUAAUCCAUCUAACAUCUUUAAAACUAAAUGCAUUGUUUUAUAAAGCAUGUUGCUGAACAUUCUAACCAACCGUGUGUACCACCUGGACAAAAAACAUGCAUGGUGGCCUUUCACACAAUUUGUGAUGGCUGCUUUUUUUUUUUCCAAAUAAAGACUGUAAACACUGGCGGGUGUCCAGAGUUCAUAUUAAUGCCAGGCUGCAGGUGGGUGUAAUAACAGAUGAUUACAUGGCUUCUUAGAGGCAACCGUCUGAGUAGCAGAUGUAGGCAGUGUUAGAACAUAUCUAGGACGGUUAUCCAGGCCAGUCCUUGGGUGCUCAUUUGAGCUUUAUUUAUAUCAUCUUAUUUUUGGACCGAAGAUGCAUCAUUGCCCGUCCCCAAGUCCCACAACCUGAUGAGGACAAGUUGUUUUACUGCAUAUAGAAAAAGACUCUUAAACUCUCAAGAAAUGCUUUUUGUCAUUUUUGAAGGAAAUUUUGAUAGGUUUGUUAAUAAAUGCAUGUCUCGUCUGAUACAAUCAUUAUUUUAAUGGCCAAAAUAACGUGUAGAGUUUUGCCUGAUUUGAACCAGAAAUACAAUUAAAAUUAA